GGACACUAAAGAAAGAAACUUGGUAAAUUAUUUGGGUGGGGGACAAGGGGUAUUUUACCCCUCCAGCAGUUGCUGUUUGUUCUCUAUUCAAAGGCUGUGUUCGCUUAUGAGGAGGCAUUCUGGCUUUGGCUAAUUCUGUCUUAGAAAAGAACAGCAGUCAAACUCAAUCAAAUUAUAACUGCCGUUAGACUAGACAGUCCCAAGUGGACAAAGAAAUAGAUCACACCUUCGGUUGUGCUUAAUUUUCAGACAUUCAUUUUCACUUUGAACAAAUGGUCUGAGCCUUUCCUUGGGGUACUUUCUUACAUCUAGGAGAAGGAAAAAAAGGUCAUAUGUUCCUGAAGGCUGCGGAUUGUCACAAGUAACAAAGUCAUCUCAAAAGAAAAGACUGCCGGAGAGAGGAUAUCCUCUGAUCUAAUUUUCCUAAAAAGUAAAACUCAGCUGACAAGCCGAAGGGAUUCAGAAUCCAAUGUCACCAAGUUCAGUUAUAAAUUUGUUUCAGUCAUUGAAGCAUGUUUACUCUUGCAAUAUCAAAGCAUGUUAUCUUCACUAACUCUUGGACCCCUGAAAUUUAAGGUGACCCUAUCCACAUCCCUAAUCUCUAUGUGAAGCUCUGCAGUUGGACUUUCCUGACAGUUUCUUAAGGGAGGUCUGGGUGAUUAAGAAGUGUGAAAGAGGAUUAAGAUAAUGUUAAAAGCCCUAUCAGGAUAUUUCUAAAAUAAUCAGGGAUGCUGAAAGGCAAAGGCAUUUGUCUCUUUCACAAUUCCACCCACACUUAAUAGAAUGCAGUGCAAUGUCUUGGUGGUGAGACUGUACUUCCUCAAGAAGGUGUUUUCUUUUCAGCAUACUCUCUGGAGUCACACAAGUUCCCCAGGAGGAAGAUGGUACUACACCAGCUUUUUCUAAUGGUGACCCAAAUUGCUUGCCUGGUGGAACUUCAUUAGGAAGGAUUAGUGAGGAAAGCUUUGAUGGGACCAGAGUAUAAUCGUAGGGCACAAUCACAUCCACAGACAAAAUGGAAACUUAUCAGUGGUGGGAAAAGUUGGAGAAGGCCGGAUGAUCCUAUCUGACUCCAGAGACUGCCAGAUAGGCAGUUGAGUUCACUGGGAUGAAGAGUGGGUAAGAUGAAGAUAGGCUUCAAGAAGUGAUGCUUGUUGGUUUUCACUAUGAACUGAAACUUUGUUUAAUGGAGACAAUACAAAGAAGUGGCUAGUUAUUUAAAAGUUUAAUCAAAGCCACCAGUUAGUAUGCUUAUAAGGAAGGGGAACAUAGAAUAAGGGGAGAGAUAACUAUACUUUCUCCAUUUGAACAGGGAAUGGCAGCAUAUCUACUAUUGGCUGAAUUAAGAUGCACCCUUCUACCCUCUGUUCCCCCUUCAGCACACAUUUAUAACUAAACUAAAGUAAUCAAAAAACAAAAGCAGAUGUUUACUAUGAUAUAAUGACAGUGAAGUUUGCUUGCUUGGUUGGUUUUCUCCUAUUUUAGUCUUUGGUGAACUAAUGAACUCGAAGGUUUCUCUCUGAUUCUACCAGGUUCAAAACUGUGGAGGGCAGAGUCUGUGAAUGAAGGGUUUUUACAUUGGGAUAUCAGCCUAUAAUGUUACCACUUUCAGUAAAAAAAAAAAAUUAAAAAAAAUUAGUAUCUACGAUCUGAAGCAGCCCAAACAAAUACAGUGUGAAAUACACACAGUCUUCUCUGCAAAUUUCCUAAGAAUGAACAAUUUUAGAACAGUGCUCAUCCUGGGAGGGCAAAGGAUAUGUUGGAACAAUGACACAAUCAAAUAUCACUUUGGAGAUGGCAUUAGAGCUCAGUGGAGAGUGAUUGUCUACUGUUCAGUAAGCUAACUGUUCAAUCCCUAACAGAGACCCAGAGGUGGGGCAAAGAAGACUGGAGAAAAGAAAAUUAAACCUCUUUUAAGAAGGUUUGUUGAUUUAUAUUCAUUUAUCUGUAUAUGUAUCUAACUGUGUGUGCAGAUGCCUGCAGAGGCCAGGAGAGGGCAUCAGAUGUCCAAGAACUGCUACAGGUGACUGUGAGCUUCUUGAGUAGAUACUGCGAAUAGAACUGUGGUCCUGUGAAACAGCCGUAGGUGCUCUUGAUCACUGAGUCAUCUGCCUAACCUCUCAAUCUUUAUCUUAAAGUACCGUAUUGAGGAGGUCUUAAGAACAAAAGAGCCUUUCCGAAAAGUUAAUAAAUAUUUAAUUAAGCAGGAUAGCUUUAAAAAAAUUAUAUGAGAUUGUUUUAAACCAACCCCUUAAUAAAAUCAUUAAAGGAUAUGACGGUGCCCAAACCAAAUCACGGAGCAAUUAUGGGGAUUUCCCCAAGACAAAGGUACUCGGCCGGAGGGCCUUCGAUGGGUUCUGCCUCAAGCACUUUCUGAAGAUUUGUCAGAAAUGGAAUUGUGCAUUCUAGAAUCUAGGUGAUGUUUAGAAAUCUGGGUUGUAGCAAAUGCUCCAGGGAGUCCUAUCACUGCUGUGGUUUGCAAACCACUGCCUUAGGCAAUUUCUUUUUCAUAUGAUAAAUGUAAAAAACGAGAAAGGACAAAAAGAAAUGAGUGUUGUAUUAGUGCAUUUUUUUUUAAUGAAGUGUUCUGGUUUCCAAAUACUACUAUCAUAAGUCACAGAAAUAAAUAGAAAAAUUUACCCU
rnacentral:lncRNA from 1 species